UUAUUCUUAUGGAAAGUAUAGGGGAGGUGAUCUAGUAGUUAAGGCAUUGGGCUUGCGACCAGAAGAUCCUUGGUUCAAAUCCCAGCCUGACUGGAAAAUCACUAAGGGCCCUUGGGCAAGG